rnacentral:rRNA from 1 species
UACGUAGGGGGCAAGCGUUGUCCGGAAUCAUUGGGCGUAAAGCGCGUGUAGGCGGCUCGAUAAGUCUGCUGUGAAAGUCCAGGGCUCAACCCUGGGAUGCCGGUGGAUACUGUCGAGCUCGAGUCCGGAAGAGGAGUGUGGAAUUCCUGGUGUAGCGGUGAAAUGCGCAGAUAUCAGGAGGAACACCAACGGCGAAGGCAGCACUCUGGGACGUGACUGACGCUGAGGAGCGAAAGCCAGGGGAGCAAACGGG